rnacentral:rRNA from 1 species
UACGAAGGGUGCAAACGUUGCUCGGAAUUAUUGGGCGUAAAGCGCACGUAGGCGGCUUAGCAAGUCGGAAGUGAAAUCCCACGGCUCAACCAUGGAAGUGCUUUCGAAACUGCUGAGCUUGAGUACUUAAGAGGAUCGCGGAAUUCCAGGUGUAGCGGUGAAAUGCGUAGAUAUCUGGAGGAACACCGGUGGCGAAGGCGGCAUCCUGGACCAACACUGACACUGAGGAGCGAAAGCCAGGGGAGCAAACGGG